CAGGCCUAACACAUGCAAGUCGAGGGGCAGCGCGGGGUAGCAAUACUCUGGCGGCGACCGGCGAAAGGGUGAGUAACGCGUGAGCAACGUGCCCGUAUGUGGGGGAUAGUCGAUGGAAACGUCGCGUAAUACCCCGUAACACACGGUCUCGCAUGGGACCGUGUUGAAAGAUUGAUUGCAUACGGAUCGGCUCGCGUGCCAUUAGGUAGACGGCGGGGUAACGGCCCACCGUGCCGACGAUGGCUAGGGGUUCUGAGAGGAAGGUCCCCCACAUUGGAACUGAGACACGGUCCAGACUCCUACGGGAGGCAGCAGUGAGGAAUAUUGGACAAUGGCCGGAAGGCUGAUCCAGCCAUGCCGCGUGCGGGAAGGCGGCCCUAUGGGUUGUAAACCGCUUUUGCGGGGGAGCAAUAAGGUGCACGCGUGCACCGAUGAGAGUACCCUGCGAAUAAGCAUCGGCUAACUCCGUGCCAGCAGCCGCGGUAAUACGGAAGGUCCGGGCGUUAUCCGGAUUUAUUGGGUUUAAAGGGAGCGCAGGCUGCCUGUCAAGCGUGACGUGAAAUGCCGCGGCUCAACCGUGGAAGUGCGUCGCGAACUGGCGGGCUUGAGUGUGCACGAGGAAGGCGGAAUUCGUGGUGUAGCGGUGAAAUGCUUAGAUAUCACGAAGAACUCCGAUUGCGAAGGCAGCCUUCCAGGGCAUUACUGACGCUAAGGCUCGAAGGUGCGGGUAUCGAACAGGAUUAGAUACCCUGGUAGUCCGCACGGUAAACGAUGGAUGCCCGCUGUUGGCGAUAUAUUGUCAGCGGCCAAGCGAAAGCGUUAAGCAUCCCACCUGGGGAGUACGCCGGCAACGGUGAAACUCAAAGGAAUUGACGGGGGCCCGCACAAGCGGAGGAACAUGUGGUUUAAUUCGAUGAUACGCGAGGAACCUUACCCGGGCUUGAACUGCAGCAGACGGAUCUAGAGAUAGUGACUCCCUUCGGGGCUGCUGUGGAGGUGCUGCAUGGUUGUCGUCAGCUCGUGCCGUGAGGUGUCGGCUUAAGUGCCAUAACGAGCGCAACCCUUUUCAUUAGUUGCCAUCAGGUAAUGCUGGGCACUCUGGUGAUACUGCCACCGUAAGGUGUGAGGAAGGUGGGGAUGACGUCAAAUCAGCACGGCCCUUACGUCCGGGGCUACACACGUGUUACAAUGGGUGGUACAGAGAGUCGGGUGUAUGCAAAUACAUUCUAAUCAAGAAAGCCAUCCUCAGUUCGGAUUGGGGUCUGCAACCCGACCCCAUGAAGCUGGAUUCGCUAGUAAUCGCGCAUCAGCCAUGGCGCGGUGAAUACGUUCCCSG
rnacentral:rRNA from 1 species